rnacentral:rRNA from 1 species
CCUACGGGGCGCAGCAGUGGGGGAUAUUCCACAAUGGGGGGAACCCUGAUGCAGCGACGCCGCGUGGGUGAAGAAGCGCCUCGGCGCGUAAAGCCCUGUCAGCAGGGAAGAAAAUGACGGUACCUGAAGAAGAAGCCCCGGCUAACUACGUGCCAGCAGCCGCGGUAAUACGUAGGGGGCAAGCGUUAUCCGGAUUUACUGGGUGUAAAGGGGGCGCAGACGGCGAUGCAAGCCAGGAGUGAAAGCCCGGGGCCCAACCCCGGGACUGCUCUUGGAACUGCGUGGCUAGAGUGCAGGAGUGGCAG